GUAGCUCAGUGGUAGAGCUUCCGACUGCAGAUCGGGAUGUCCCUGGUUCAAACCGGUGC
rnacentral:tRNA from 1 species